UGCAAACUGCGAAUACCGGAGAAUGUUAUCACGGGAGACACACGGCGGGUGCUAACGUCCGUCGUGAAGAGGGAAACAACCCAGACCGCCAGCUAAGGUCCCAAAGUCAUGGUUAAGUGGGAAACGAUGUGGGAAGGCCCAGACAGCCAGGAUGUUGGCUUAGAAGCAGCCAUCAUUUAAAGAAAGCGUAAUAGCUCACUGGUCGAGUCGGCCUGCGCGGAAGAUGUAACGGGGCUAAACCAUGCACCGAAGCUGCGGCAGCGACGCUUAUGCGUUGUUGGGUAGGGGAGCGUUCUGUAAGCCUGCGAAGGUGUGCUGUGAGGCAUGCUGGAGGUAUCAGAAGUGCGAAUGCUGACAUAAGUAACGAUAAAGCGGGUGAAAAGCCCGCUCGCCGGAAGACCAAGGGUUCCUGUCCAACGUUAAUCGGGGCAGGGUGAGUCGACCCCUAAGGCGAGGCCGAAAGGCGUAGUCGAUGGGAAACAGGUUAAUAUUCCUGUACUUGGUGUUACUGCGAAGGGGGGACGGAGAAGGCUAUGUUGGCCGGGCGACGGUUGUCCCGGUUUAAGCGUGUAGGCUGGUUUUCCAGGCAAAUCCGGAAAAUCAA
rnacentral:rRNA from 1 species